ensembl:processed_transcript Gm37587 predicted gene, 37587
GCCCCCGAAACCCCACCCUAGCAGCUGGCGACUCCGAGACCACGUCCUCCUUCCCGCUCGGCCCUAGCUGAGUUUUUCCGCGGCGAAGCAGGAAGUGAACUGCUCCUGCUCCACUUCCCAGCUCAGUAACCGGUCGGGACUGUUUCUUAGAACCCAUACCCCAUCUGUGUUCCCCAGACGAACUCAGUCUAUGAUCCUGUAAUACUCCGUUCCUGGACUGUGAAAGUGAUGAUGACUACACAGUGGGUCAAGCACAUUGAGUUGUUUCGUUGAGUUUGCUUUGGUUUUUGGUUUGCUUUGGUUUUGUAGCAGAGGCAAUAGGUGCCUUUCCAUCCAGAAAACUCUGCUCCCAAGAUCCCCUAUCAGGAUUAACUGCAUGGCGCCAGAUUGUUGGUUAGGGCAAGGCAAAUUCUAAUUCAUCUGAGCUACAUGAGAAGAGUUCAAAGAUGGAGCUAACAUUCUAAUAUAAAUAAAAUGAAGUUUUCUCAUUGUG